AGCAGCCGCGGUAAUUCCAGCUCCAAUAGCGUAUAUUAAAGUUGUUGCAGUUAAAAAGCUCGUAGUUGAAUUUCGGGAUCAAUAUAUUGGUCAUGCUUAGGUAUGUACUGGUAUUAUUGAUUUCUCCCUUCUGAAGAACCAUGAUGUCAUUAAUUUGAUGUCGUGGGGAAUCAGGACUGUUACUUUGAAAAAUUAGAGUGUUUAAAGCAGGCUUUCGCUUGAAUACAUUAGCAUGGAAUAAUGAAAUAGGACGUUUGAUUCUAUUUUGUUGGUUUCUAGGAUCGACGUAAUGAUUAAUAGGGAUAGUUGGGGGCAUUAGUAUUCAAUUGUCAGAGGUGAAAUUCUUGGAUUUAUUGAAGACUAACUACUGCGAAAGCAUUUGCCAAGGAUGUUUUCAUUAAUCAAGAACGAAAGUUAGGGGAUCGAAGACGAUCAGAUACCGUCGUAGUCUUAACCAUAAACUAUGCCGACUAGGGAUCGGAUGAU
rnacentral:rRNA from 1 species